GAUAAACGCUGGCGGCGUGCUUAACACAUGCAAGUCGAACGAAGUUUUUCCUUCGGGAGACCCUUAGUGGCGGACGGGUGAGUAACGCGUGGGUAACCUGCCCUGUACAGGGGGACAACAGCUGGAAACGGCUGCUAAUACCGCAUAAGCCCUUAGCACUGCAUGGUGCAUAGGGAAAAGGAGCAAUCCGGUACAGGAUGGACCCGCGUCUGAUUAGCCAGUUGGCAGGGUAACGGCCUACCAAAGCGACGAUCAGUAGCCGAUCUGAGAGGAUGUACGGCCACAUUGGGACUGAGACACGGCCCAGACUCCUACGGGAGGCAGCAGUGGGGAAUAUUGCACAAUGGAGGAAACUCUGAUGCAGCGACGCCGCGUGAGUGAAGAAGUAUUUCGGUAUGUAAAGCUCUAUCAGCAGGGAAGAAAAUGACGGUACCUGACUAAGAAGCACCGGCUAAAUACGUG
rnacentral:rRNA from 1 species